GAUGAACGCUGGCGGCGUGCCUAAUACAUGCAAGUCGAGCGAACGGACGCGGAGCUUGCUUCUCUGUUGUUAGCGGCGGACGGGUGAGUAACACGUGGAUAACCUCCCUAUAAUACUGGGAUAACUUCGGGACACCGGCGCUUAUCCCGGAUGAUAUUUUGACCCGCGUUGUUCAUAAGAGAAAGUCGGUGUUGCGGGCACGUAUAGAUGCAUCUCCGCUGCAUUAGCUAGUUGGUACGGUAACGGCUUACCAAGGCAACGAUGCGUAGCCGACCGGAGAGGGUGAUCGCCCACACUGGAACUGAGACACGGUCCAGAGUCCUACGGGAGGCAGCAGUAGGGAAUCUUCCGCAAUGGGCGAAAGCCUGACGGAACAGCCGCGCGUGAGUGAUGAAGGUCUUCGGAUCGUAAAACUCUGUUAUUAGGGAAGAACAGAUGUGGAAGGAACUGAGCACAUCUUGACGGUACCGAAUCAGAAAGCCACGGCUAACUACGUG
rnacentral:rRNA from 1 species